GCUAGCUCUCUGGUUCUGCUCAUCUCAUCAUCAUAAGCCAAAACUUUCUUCUUUUUGUUUCAUUUUCUUUUCUAAUUAAUUAGUAUAUAUAUAUAUAAUUAAGUUAAGCUUAUGCAUGGCUUGUUCAUCUGGGACUUCGAUGGUGGCGGUGGUUUCUUUCUUCUUCUUCUUCAUCAUCUUACUCUUAGAUGCUGAUUCUACUGUAACUGCUGCUCGUCCCGCCAUGGAGGAAUUCCACUCCUUGCACGACUUUCGUAGGAAUCUAUUGGCAAAUGGACUCGGUCUUACACCACCCAUGGGGUGGAAUAGUUGGAACCACUUUCACUGCGAUAUUGAAGAGCAAUUGAUUAGGGAAACAGCGGAUGCGAUGGUGUCCACUGGACUUGCUGCACUAGGAUACCACUACAUAAACUUGGAUGAUUGCUGGGCUGAACUGAACAGAGACUCUCAGGGAAACUUGGUGCCUAGAGCUUCAACAUUUCCCUCUGGAAUAAAGGCACUGGCAGAUUAUGUUCAUAAGAAAGGCUUAAAGUUAGGGAUUUACUCCGAUGCUGGGUAUAAUAUCAUUACUUCUCUCUAUGCUUUAUUGCCUUGAUUUGUAUUCAUAAUUUAUCACAAAUCAUUUUUGGUUCAAACUAUGGAGCUAUUGAAUUUCAUGCUAUUCUGUUGAAGUACUCAGACAUGCAGUAAAACAAUGCCUGGAUCAUUGGGCCACGAGGAACAAGAUGCAAAAGCCUUUGCUUCCUGGGUUAUUAUAACAUCCACAUAACUUUUUUGGUUUUUCAUUUUGUCACUUGGCCAUGGGUAAUUAUUAAAUAGAAUAAUAAUAAUUUUUUUUCUCUUAUAUCAUUUGCAGGGAAUAGACUAUUUGAAGUAUGAUAAUUGUAACAAUGAUGGUACGAGUCCAAAAGUGAGAUAUCCUGUUAUGAGCAAGGCAUUAUUAAACUCAGGAAGACCUAUCUUCUUUUCUCUGUGCGAAUGGGGACAAGAGGACCCUGCAACUUGGGCCUCAGGUAUUGGAAAUAGUUGGAGAACAACAGGAGACAUUUCUGAUAAGUGGGAAAGCAUGAUUUCUCGUGCAGAUGAAAACGAUAAAUGGGCAUCACAUGCCGGACCUGGAGGUUGGAAUGAUCCUGACAUGCUCGAAGUUGGAAAUGGAGGAAUGGAAACGGAGGAGUAUCGAUCCCAUUUCAGCAUUUGGGCAUUAGCCAAGGCUCCUCUUUUAAUUGGGUGUGAUGUUCGAUCCAUGAGUAAUGAAACAUACGAAAUAUUAAGCAAUAAAGAAGUGAUUGCAGUUAAUCAAGAUAAACUUGGAGUUCAAGGGAAAAAGGUUAAAAAAGAUGGGGAUCUAGAGGUUUGGAGUGGUCCUCUUAGUGAUGGGAAAGUUGCGGUAGUGCUGUGGAAUAGAGGUUCUUCUAAAGCCACAGUUACUGCACACUGGACUGACAUUGGCCUUCAGCCAACAGCACUUGUCGAUGCUCGUGACUUGUGGCAGCACUCAACUCAAGCGUCAAUUAAAGGCCAGAUAUCAGCUGAUUUGGAUUCUCAUGCUUGUAAAAUGUAUGUGUUAACACCCCAGAAUUCUGCAGGGGCUCAAAAUUAAAAUUAUAGCAACCAGUUAACUUAACUGAAUUAUGGUAUUGGUUGCUUAUUUGAGACAAAAAGUUUGUCAUACCAAAAAUAAUUAAAUAAUCAUGUACCUUAAUAAGUCUAAUUAAACUAUUUAAUUUUAGUUAUUUUUAUUUUAAUUAAAAUUAAAUUAUAACGCAUCAUAACAAAAUUUAUUUAUUUUCUAAUUACAAAGAGCUGUUAUAAACUUUAUUA
rnacentral:misc_RNA from 1 species